UGGUGGAGUGAUUUGUCUGGUUAAUUCCGUUAACGAACGAGACCCCCGCCUGCUAAAUAGUGUCGGUAAUGCUUCUGCUUUGCCGUUUCUACUUCUUAGAGGGACUUUCGGUGACUAAUCGAAGGAAGUUGGGGGCGAAUAACA
rnacentral:rRNA from 1 species